ACUGGAAGACCAAGGCCGAGUCUGAUGAAGCAAGACUGUGCUGACACACUCCUCCUAGACAAAGGGGUGGAGAGAGCAGCCCUAAAUCAGAGAAAAACCACAAGGCUGAAAAUUUUACAGCACUGUAUUU